rnacentral:antisense_RNA from 1 species
AAAAAAUGUGAUGUUAAUUAAAAAAAUAUGUAAUUAAUGAAAUUAAUUUAAGUGAAGUAAUAAUUUAAAUGAAUAUUUUAUCAUUACUAUUGCUAAGAAUCAAAAUAAUAUAGAAGAAUACUUCUUUUGAUAAAUUGGUUGAGACAAAUUUUGUUCUAAUAUAUAUAUAUAUAUAUAUAUAUAUAAUAUUAUGAUAAAGAACUAGAAAGUUUUUGUUCAAGAGCGGAAGACCAAACUGGUUUAGUAACUUUAAGCCUCUUAAUAAUCGUUGUGAUUACCAUAUUAACUUCAUCAACUCGUUCCUCAUUGGGUUUGUCAGAGUCAUUACAUUUGUAAAUGAUUUCUUUUAUAUCAGAAUAUAUAUUUGGUAUGUCCUGAAGAUACUUCUCUUUGUCAUCAGAAGAAAUCUUUUCGUUAAAAAUUACUUCCAUGGAACCUCUAAGCUCUUUCAUUUUACUAGAAUAUGCACUGCUAAAGUCAUUCUUUAAAAGUUGGAUUUCUGAUAAGACGUAAUAAACUACAGGUUUUGAUGAAUACUGCGAAAUUUGGUUUAAUAAAUUCAGACUUUUGUUAAUAAGUGAAUAUGGUCUGUCUGAAUUAUUAAUUUCAUGGGCAUAUUUCUCACUCUUAAGAAGAUUAAUAAUAUUUGGAAGAGACCACAUUGGAAAUCGUUCUUUAUAAGAAGCAAGCUUCAUAAUACCAGAUAAACAUUCAAUGAUACGACUUAAAUCUUCUCUUUUAAUAGCAAUUUUAAGUGAAGAAUCCCACAUCAUCCAAUUGUCUCUUGAAUGUUUUAGGCCUUCGUUAAUCGCACUUUGUGCUUCAUCCCAUAAUUCUUUCUUAGACAGAGCGGCAGCCAAAUUUGCCCAAGCUUCACCUUGCUGCGGAUCUAAAGAAACUACUCUGCUAAAUGCUUGUUGUGCAAUUUCCCACCUCUCAAGCCUUAAAGCAACGCACCCAAGUGAAAACCAACAAUUUACAUUUGUGGAGUUAACCAAUGAAGCCUUUGUAUAAGCAUCAAGAGCAAGCUCAAAUUGUGAUUUCUUAAAGUAUGCAUUUCCUAAAGAUCUUUGCGCUCUUGCAAAUCUAUGGCGAGAAAGUUCCCAUGAUUUUUCAUAAAAUGAAAGAUCUUGAGUAAGAUCUCCAAGAGAACAAUAAAGACGUGGAGUUUCUCUAACUUUGAGCUGUUCUUUAACUAGCUCAAUAGCUUCAGUUUUUCUAUCUGCAACAAUUAAACAGUCUACAGCAUCUUCCCACAUACACAUUUCUACAAACAUAUUAUAAGCUGAUAAAACAGAACCAAUCCUCAUCAUUCUUAUUCCAAGUUCUUUCUUUGCUUCCCAAAUAUUUGGAUAAUUUACAGAAAAUACCAAUCUAAGACGUUCUUCAGGACCUGGCUCAGCGUCAUUAAAUUGAUCAACCAGUGAUUGAAGUUGAAGACAGGCUCUAUCAGCUGUUCUGCCUCGAUGAUGCUCUGCAUAACAUCUAUACCAUAAGGCUGUUGAGAAACAUAACCAAUUAUGAAUUUUUUUGCGAAGAUCCUCAUCUUUGAUUUUGGUUAUAUCGAAUUUUAAGAUUCUGUUUGUCAAAGCAUUCAGCUGCUCAUAAGCUAUUACAUCAUUUGUUGGACUUGUUUCAUAAAUUGCAACGCCAUGUAUUAAUAAUACACAUUGUUCUAUUAUUGCCAAGGAUCCGGUAAGGUGACUAUUUUUAUCAUCAUCCAGUUUCACGUUUUCAUAAAUAUCAAUAUUUGGAUCUACACUCUUGAGUAAAACAUUUUCUGGAUAUUGACGAUCAAGAAUCUUCUCUUCGGUCUCAUUAUUUAUGGAAUCUUCAGUUGGCUCUUCACUUUCCACAACAUUUCUAUCUAUUUCGUUUUCAAGAUUAUCAGAACUUCGAUAAACUUCAACUACAAGCUGUGCUGUACUCUCCCUUUGAUUCAUUCUUUUUUGUCCAAGUGCUCCAGUGAAUGAAUAUUUAAAUCCAUUCAUUAAAGAUAUUUGUUUAAGUAAUAUUGCACAUGGAUUUGCUCUACUAAAAGUGGAUAAAGAAAGGGAAAGAUCAAGUAAAAAUAUAGAAGAAACAUUUUUAUCCAAUUUGUUUGAAAACAAAGCUUGAUUACUUGAUAAUUCUUCAUCAAAUCUGAAAGACCUUAAAAGGUUAUCCUUGAAACGAUCGUUUAUUGGGAAAUCAUCUGGAAUUAUAUUCCAUUCAUUUUUUAACCAAUUUGAAUACUUCUCAAGAAUUGUACUCUCUAAAUAAGGAGUUGCAGCAAAUUUUAUUCCUCCUUCUAAACUCCUUUGCCAUAUACGGUAAAAUCUUUGCUUCCAAAAGUUUAUAAAGCUUAAUUUUGGUAUUUCAUCACCUAUUACAAUAUAUUUUGAUAAUUUCAGUAUAUUGGAUUCACUAUUAAAUUCAUCUUUAUUAUCAGUUGACCUAUUUGAUAAGAAUUCAAUCAGAAAUAUACUCCAAGUUAGAAAUGGGGCUGAAUUACAUCUUUGGUACAAAUAUUCACCAUCUAUUUCCAGACAACAAGUACAUUCUUUGUGAUAAUUGUUUCCAAAUUCUUUAUCAUUAUCUAAACUUUCUGUGAUCAGUCCAGAAAGUUCGUUAUUGUUAUAAUCAGCCUCUUUCUUUUCAGGCUUCCAAUCUUUAGAUACACCGUCGUCUAUUUUAAAUGGAGGACCCGUCCAAUUUGAUUGCAUGUAAAUAUUUAGCAAAAGUAUUGAAAGACAUAAAAUUUCAAAUUGAGCUAUUUUUUGCGAAACUUGAUCAUUAUCUUUUAAAAUAUAGCUCAUAUAAUAAUCCAAUACAUUUUGAGAGAUCUUUUCAAGUGAUUUUGUCUCCAAAUUUGAGUGGUAUUCUUUAUAUAAUGGAGAUAUUAAUAAUUUAAAGUGUGGAUCAUUAAUCAAUUUCAAACAAGAAUAUGACUCUGCAAUCUCUAAAGAUUUUAGCAGUUUCUCAAACAAUUCAGGCGCAAGUGAGUCCUUGCUUUUCAAGUAAUUUUUACUGCUUGUGUCAACAAGUCUUUCUUCCCAGCCAAAUACCAAAUCUUUAUGAUUACUACUCAUUUAUAUCAGAUCCCUAACUUAAUCCUUUGUUGAGAUAAUUUAUACAUAAAUAUAAAGUUAAAUAUUAAUUUUUGGAUGUUUUAAAUAUUAUAAGAAAAUCAAUACAAAUUUUGACAAUUCUUUUAAUACAAUUAUAAAUUCUUUAAAUAAAUGGUCAAAAUGGGUUUGGCGGGAAAGUUGUGCUUGCAAAAAAUUUUUUAAAAUUAAGAUUAAUUUGGAAAUUGAAAAUUGGGAAAAAUAUUGUUCAAGAGUUCCACACAGAUAUAUUCAAGGACAAAAAGAAUGAGGAGUUAACAUAUAGUCUAUCAUUUAAUUACUUUUUGGUAAAAAACUUCAGAUUUUGAGAGACGACCUAGAUAAUGGAGUUUAAUCUCGAAUUUAAUAUUAAAUUGAAAGACGGAAUCAAAAUAAUAUUACAAGUUCUAAGUUUGAAUAUAAAUUAAAACAUCCAUCCUCUUAUUUUUCUUAAGAAAAGAAGGAUUAAAAUUUAAUUAAAUUAUACCACUAAAACUAAAUUCAAGAGUUUGGUAAUUCCAAUAUAAAAAAAAAUAAUUUACUCUUAAUAUUUCUAAUAUUUCAAAAUGGAUUACCUACUUCAAACUCGGAUUGAUAUUUUUAGAACAAGCAAAUAUAUAUAAAAAAAAAGCUCAUGCCUUUUUGGUAUUACCUUUUUUGAAGUCUUUAGGCUCCCAAUCAUCCCCAAGAUCGCUUUCCCAGAGGUUAAUAUUCUUUACAUCGGAUUGUACAAUGUUGACGUUACUAUUACUUGAGCUAAUGACAGAUUGUGGAGCUUUGUUACUUGGAGAAGCCUUGGAAUUACUAUUCAUAUUAGUAGCUAAAGAUUCUGAAGGUGGAGAAGGCUUUCUACCAAUAGUUCGAGUAAAAUUACUGUUACUUGAAUUAAAUGAAUUGGAAUUUAUGGAAUCUAAGGAUUUUUGAGGAUCAAUUUGGCCACUUCUGUCAGUCUCAGCUUCAUUAAUAUCAUCACCGAAAAUGUUGUUGAGUGGAUCAUUAAAAUUACUUGGAUCAAUUGCAGUCUGGAUAACCUCAUUAACUCCAGAAAUACCACUCUGAAUAGUGUUAUUGACCCAUUGAGCAGAGUUUUGCAUUGUAGUAGCGGUAUUUGACCAGAAUUUCUCGUCCUGGACCUUCUCAACAACAGCUCUACCAGCUUCUUCAAUGUAUGUUCCUCCAGCUUUUACUGAGUCGAUUGCGCUCUCUAAAAUCCCUCUUUCAUUCACAUGGUUGAUUGUACUUUCUGCAUAGCUUUUUGUAUUGGAAAUGACCUUCAUGCUAAACGAUGAUAAACUAUCGAGAAUUCCUCCAAAGCCUUUUGAACCAAUAUUACGGUCAAAUAAGUUUGCAUAUUUGUCGUCGCUUGGAUUAUUUCCAAAUGAGUUAGAAGAUGAGAAAGAUGUACCAGUUCUCAUUGGAGAAAAUCCGUUAUUGCUACCUACAUUAUUAUUCUUAUUAUUGCUCUCAGGGACAUAUUCCAAACAACCAAUUGAUUUUGAGGGUUUUGGACCUGGCGUAUUUCCCUCACAUAAAUCUUUCAACAUUCCCCUGUAAUAGGCAGCUAUUUGAGAGUUGUAUUUUUUCUUAAUAUCACAGCCAUUGAGCCCGUAUUCACUAAAAAUCUCAGUCAAUCUGGUAUUGCCCCCCAAUUCCAUUGCUUUCAUUUGUUUUGGAGUCCAACUAUCCAUUGUAAUGGAUCUUAUGAAACUAAUAUGUACCCCCAAACCUCUAUGAACACCACUACAUGUCAAACACAUUAAGCAUCCAUGUGAAACUGAUGCCCAUUGUGGAUGAGGCGCUCCGCAGUCAAUACAUUUAUUAUUUAGAGGGUCCUUUUCCUUUAUACUCUUAAAGAAUUGUUGGGUUUUAU